CAAUCACUCGUAGGUUAUUUCUCUUGAUAGAGUCCCACAUGAUUCUUAAGGUUUCUUCAUUUUUUUUAAUUCUUUUAUCUGAUUUUUCUUCAAAUAUGUUAGUGCCAAGUGAUUUAUCUUCGAGUUCAGAAAUUCUAGCUUCUACUUCCUCAAUUCUGCCCCUCUGACUUUCUGUUGAGUCAUCUAAUUCUGUAAUUUUAUUGUUAAUGUUCCGAAUUUCUGAUUGUUGCCUGUCUAUGGAUUUUUCCAGCUUACUAAACUUUUCAUUAUGUUCCUGAAUAACCUUCCUAAUUUCUUUAUUUGCUUUAUCUGUGUGUUCCUUGGCUUGUUCUGCGUAUUGCCUCAUUUCCUUCCUGAUGUCUUGGAGGGUUCUGUAUAUUAAGCUUUUGUAUUCUGCAUCUGGUAAUUCCAGGAAUGCACUUUCACCUAGAAGAUCCCUGGAUUCUUUGUUUUGAGAGCGUGUUGAGGUGAUCAUGGUUCUGGAGGUGUGAGUGGGCUGUGUGGCUGCUGCUUCUCCCUGAGGAAACUGUGGCCGAACGCUAGUCUCAGCCCGAUGCCGCUGCCACUCUGGGAAUGGUGCCUGAGGGCUCCCCGCGAUUAAGGUGUAACAGCGACUGGAUGUGAGAGUACGGUUCUCUGUUCACUGGUCUUGCAGGGCAGCUGAGGAUAUAACUGGCAUUUCUGGAUGUAUUGGUACAUACAGCUGGGAAGUGACCACGGUGUCCACAUUGGCGCCAACAAUAGAAGCCAAGAUUGAUCUGACAUCAGCAACAGGCCGGUGUGGCAUGACUCAAAAUGAGAAGAAAGAGUUGCAAACAUCCAUUAAUAGUAGGAACAUGGAAUGUAUGAAGUAUGAAUCUAGGAAAAUCGGAAGUUGUGAAAAUGAAAUGGAACACAUAAAGAUUAAUAUCCUACGCAUUAGUGAGCUUCAAUAGAAUAGCUUUGGCCUUUUUGAAUGGGACAAUUGUAUGGUCUGCUAUGUUGGGAAUGACAAAUUAAAAAGGAAUGGCAUUAUAUUCAUAAUCAAAAAGAACAUUCCAAGAUCAACUGUGAAGUACAACUCUGUCAGUGAUAGAAUAGUAUCCAUACGCCUACAAGGAAGAUGAGUUAAUAUGACUUAUUCAGAUUCGCGCAGCAAUUAUUAAUGCCAAAGAUAAGUACAUUGAAGAUUUUCACCAACUUCUGUAGGUUGAAAUGGAUCAAAUGUGCAAUGAAGAUCCAUUGAUAAUUAAAGGUGUUUGGAAGGCGAAAGUUGGAAACAAACAAGAAGGAUUAGUAGUUGGAAAAUAUGGCCUUGCUGAAAGAAAAGAUGCUGGAGAUCACAUGAUAGAAUUUUGAAAGAACAACUUCACUGCAUUAACUCAUCUUUGUAGACAAGUUAAUCCAUAACAACCUUUCCAAGCCCACUGAUCUCAAGGCACUCUACUAUGCUUUCAGUUUUUUCGAGGGCUUAACUGUUGCAUCACCCAGUAGCUAUCAUAUGAUACAGUGUCAUAGAAGACAUCACAUAUUGCAGCUGGACAAAAGCUGGCAGCCAAUGAGGGACACGGCAAGGACAAUGGCCAGGUCCCCUGGACUCCUUCUCAGCAUAGAUCUGUGGACUACGCUCCUCCCAGAGUCCCUGGAUGGUACAAAAAAUUUUAGAUUUGAAUCUAGCCAAAGGUGCCUUGGAAGAAAGGCCCAGCAAUCAAAUUCUGAAAGAUCAUACUUAUUGCAAACCCUACGGAGCACAGCCGUACUCAGACACAUUGAGGCCACCACGAGUCAGAGUCGAUUCCAUGGCAUCUGCUCACAGGCCACCUUGCUGUUCCUCCAACAUGCCAGGCACGGUCCUGCCUCCAGAUAUGAACGAGUGUGCCAACCCUACCGCAUGCCCAGCUGACACCACCCGCACCAACACCUGGGACAGGUACUACUGCACAUGCAAACAGGGCUUCCUGCCCAGCAACAGACAAACCAGUUUCACGGGCCCAGAGGUAGACUGUACAGAUGUGGAUGAAUGCUCUCACACACCCCCACCCUGUGGUCCUGGCUCGGUCUGCACAAACCUGCGGGGGAGACACAGGUGCAGCUGUUUGCCUGGGUUCUCUUCUCCCACUGAAAUUACCUGGAUCCCAGCAUAGUCAGACGAUUUCACCCGUCCAGACAUCGACGGGUGCCUCAGCAGCGCCACCUGCCUGGAGAAUUCUGACUGCAUGAAGGCCGUGGGAAGCUACAGUUGCAGCUGCCGGGUGGGCUUCAUCCCAGGCACUCCACCUGUGAAGGUACAGAGCACCUGUCCUUCAUGACUUACCUAACCAAUUAACUAAUCAUCACCUCAUUUGACAACUAUGUGAAUAGGAUUGUGAUUCUGUUUUAGGGAUGAGAAAAUUGAGGCUCAGAGAGGUGAAGUGACUUGCCCAAGGACACACAGAAGAACCAGGAUUUGAAUUCCCAUUGAGGGCCUUCUGUGAGUCAAGCAGUGAGUCAGGCUAUACUUGGCAGUGAUAAGGAGCUCUUGUCCCUAGACUGAUUUUUCUUCCCAGGGAACAUCUAGCAAUGUCCAGAGGCAUUUUUUUAUUGUGAUAUAAAUAUACAUAACAAAACGUUUGCCAUUUCAACAUUAAAAAAUUGUUUACUGUGAUAAAAAUAUAUGGUGCUAUUGAUGGUUCAGUGGUAGAAUCCUUGCCUUUCAUGUGGGAGACCCAGGUACAACUCUGACUAAUGCCAUCUAUCAGUGGAGGCUUGUGUGUUGCUGUGAUCCUGAACAGCUUUCAGUGGAACUUCCAGACCAAAAUGGACUAGGAAGAAAGGCCUGGUGAUCGGCUUCUGAAAAUCAGCCAAUGAAAACCCUUUGGAUCACAACGGUGGGAUCCGUAAGCUAUUAAUGGGGAUGGCGCAGGACUGGGCAGCGUUUCGUGACGUUGUGCACGGGGUUGCCACGAGUCGGGGCCAACUUGACAGCAGCCAACAUCAACAACAAAUAUGCAACAAAACACAUGCCAUUUCAGUAUUUUUUACACGUUCAGCUCAGUGACACUGAUUACUUUCAUCAUGCUGUGCAACCAUCAGCACUAACCAGAGGCCUUUUUUCUGUUUUUUUGUGCUUUAGAUGAAGGUUUAGAGAACUAGUUUCUCAUUAAACAGUUGGUACACAUAAUUGUUUUAUGACACUGGUUAACAACCCCACGACACGUCAGCACUCUCCCUUCUCGACCUUGGGUUCCCUAUGACCAGCUUUCCUGUCCCCUCCUGCCUUCCCGUCCUUGCCCCAGCCUGGCGUGCCCCUUUAGUCUCGUUUUGUUUUAUGGGCCUGUCCAAUCCUUGGCUGAAGGUGAACCUCAGGAGUGACUUCAUCACCAAACUGAUAGGGUGUCCAGGGGCCAUACUCUCAGGAAAUAGCCUUGAUCCUCCUCUUC